rnacentral:misc_RNA from 1 species
GGUUGGAUCAUUAUUGAAAACAACCUAAAAGAGUGUGACCGAAAGGUCCCUCUUUUAAACCCACACACUGUGAACCGUUUAUUGUCUCUUGGUGGGUUACUAUUAAAAGUGCUUUAACCGGCGCUUUGCCCACCAGUAUUUAAACACCAAAUCUUAUUAAACCAAGUCUCAUGAAUUUUUAUUACAAUAAUAAGAAAACAACUUUUGACAACGGAUCUCUUGGCUCUCGCAACGAUGAAGAACGCAGCGAAAUGCGAUAAGUAAUGUGAAUUGCAGUAUUCCGUGAAUCAUUAAAUCUUUGAACGCAACUUGCGCCUUUUGGUAUUCCGAAGGGCAUAUCUGUUUGAGAAUCAGUUUAAACCUCAAAGCCUAGCUUUGGAAAAUGAGAUUGUCUCUGAAUUUCGGUUUAGAGUCUCUUUAAUAUCAUGGAGUUGAAAGGACCAGAUUUUGGUAUAAAGGCUCUGAAAGCAAGAUGUACUAGAACGCAAGUUCUUUUUUUUUCUAUGCUGAUAAAGACCUUCUUACAAUAUAAAAUCCCUUUUAUUUAUUCCAAAUUUAAACACGAAAGAGAAUUGCGACACAUUCCCUUUUAAGACAUGGUCUCAAAUCAGAUAAGACUACCCGCUGAACUUAAGCAUAUCAAUAAGCGGAGGAAAAGAAACUAACAAGGAUUCCCCUAGUAACGGCGAGUGAAGCGGGAAUAGCUCAAAUUUGAAAUCUCAUAGUUUUACUAUGCGAAUUGUAGUUUAGAGAAACGUUUUCGGAGGCAAAUCAGAUAAAAGUCCUUUGGAACAGGGCAUCAUAGAGGGUGAGAAUCCCGUCUUUGAUCUGAAGCUUGCUUCUAUGUGAUACGUUUUCCAAGAGUCGGGUUGUUUGGGAAUGCAGCCCAAAAUGGGUGGUAAAUAUCAUCUAAAGCUAAAUAUUGGCGAGAGACCGAUAGCGAACAAGUACCGUGAGGGAAAGAUGAAAAGAACUUUGAAAAGAGAGUUAAAUAGUACGUGAAAUUGUCAAAAGGGAAACGCUUGAAGCCAGUUUUACCUGUAGAAUCCCAACUGUCCUUCUGGACAGCACAUGUUUCUACAGGUAGGUCAACAUCGGUUUAUUUCGCAGUAUAAAGCUAGAGGAAGGUAGCGGUAACGUGUUAUAGCCUCUAGUAAUGCUGUGGUUUAGACCGAGGAACGCAGAGCAGUCUUGUGUGCUUGUUCGCCAGCCUUAACCUUCUGCUAAACAACUUGUUGAUUAGUGGGAGACUUGAGGUUGCCCGGGCAAAGCAUAUCACCUGUUCUUAGGAUGUUGACAUAAUGGCUUUAAACGACCCGUCUUGAAACACGGACCAAGGAGUCUAACACAUAUGCGAGUAUUUGGGUUUUUAAACCCGGAAUGCGUAAUGAAAGUAAUAAGGUAGGAUCCCGCAAGGGUUGCACUAUCGACCAGUCUGGAAGUAUUUUACAGAAAGAUCUGAGUAAGAGCAUAUUUGCUAGGACCCGAAAGAUGGUGAACUAUGCCUGAAUAGGGUGAAGCCGGCGGAAACGCCGGUGGAAGCUCGUAGCGAUUCUGACGUGCAAAUCGAUCGUCAAAUUUGGGUAUAGGGGCGAAAGACUAAUCGAACUAUCUAAUGGCUGGUUCCCUC